CCUACGGGAGGCAGCAGUGGGGAAUAUUGCACAAUGGGGGAAACCCUGAUGCAGCGACGCCGCGUGAAGGAAGAAGUAUUUCGGUAUGUAAACUUCUAUCAGCAGGGAAGAAAAUGACGGUACCUGACUAAAAAGCCCCGGCUAACUACGUGCCAGCAGCCGCGGUAAUACGUAGGGGGCAAGCGUUAUCCGGAUUUACUGGGUGUAAAGGGAGCGUAGGCGGUUUAGCAAGUCAGAAGUGAAAGCCCGGGGCUCAACUCCGGGACUGCGUUUGAAAAUGUUGAACUAGAGUGCAGGAGAGGUAAGUGGAAUUCCUAGGGUAGCGGUGAAAUGCGUAGAUAUUAGGAGGAACACCAGUGGCGAAGGCGGCUUACUGGACUGUAAAUGACGCUGAGGCUCGAAAGCGUGGGGAGCAAACAGGAUUAGAUACCCCUGUAGUC
rnacentral:rRNA from 1 species